rnacentral:tRNA from 1 species
GUGGCGUUAGCUCAGCGGCAGAGCCCUGGGUUGUGGUCCCAGCCGUCGUGGGUUCGAUCCCCACACGCCACCCCA